rnacentral:rRNA from 1 species
UACGGAGGAUCCGAGCGUUAUCCGGAUUUAUUGGGUUUAAAGGGUGCGUAGGUGGGCCUGUAAGUCAGUGGUGAAAGUUUGCAGCUUAACUGCAGAACUGCCGUUGAUACUGAUAGUCUUGAGUUUGGUUAAGGUAGGCGGAAUGUGUAAUGUAGCGGUGAAAUGCUUAGAUAUUACACAGAACACCGAUUGCGAAGGCGGCUCUCUGGACUGUAACUGACACUGAGGCACGAAAGCGUGGGGAGCAAACAGGAUUAGAUACCCCGGUAGU